ACUCUCCAUGGCCCCAGUGCACCGCUCUUCCCCACCACGUCCUCGGCCGGCCCCCACUGCCCCGGUACACCACCAUCCCCAGCCCCGGUGCACCCUGGUUGUGCCACGUUGCCCGGGACGCUCCCAUCUGCCGGGACCCUCGGCACAUGGGGGACCCACAGCCCCGAGUGUGGACACCCUCGCCUUGCUCAUCUCCUCCGCGGUGCAGCCGCCGUGCCGGUCCCAGCGGGCGGUGCUCGGCAGCAGCUCCAUUGUUCCAGACUGGCCCCAGCACAGGCUUCCUCCAACUGCACCCCAACCCUGGAAUAGGAUCCAGCUCGGAGAGUUGAGAGGAAAACGCCUGAUCUCGCCUGCCUGCGCUUCUGCCCUACCCCAAACUAGAGCCCUGCAGGACGCUUUCACAGCGCUCAGCUCACCCAUCGCAUCGCCCAUCUCGGUGUGAUGGGCCUGCGCCGCGUGAAACCCAGACCUCAGAACGAGCCAUAUGCAUCAGUGCCUACAGCUCAAGGCUAGCAACCCCUCCCGGGCAACGUUCUUCUGGCAGGCUGCGUAGCUGAACUCCUCUGUCUUGCCUAAGAGUCUCCGUUGGGACAUAACAAGUUUGUCAGCCGGCGCUUGCUGAUGGAGGCAUAGUAAAAUCCAUCACCCUACAAAAGCAUAAAACAAAGCAAAAAAUAAAAAUAAAAAAUUCAAAGUUCUGCA
rnacentral:lncRNA from 1 species